AUUGAACGCUGGCGGCAGGCCUAACACAUGCAAGUCGAACGGUAACAUUUCUAGCUUGCUAGAAGAUGACGAGUGGCGGACGGGUGAGUAAUGCUUGGGAAUUUGCCUUUGCGCGGGGGAUAACCAUUGGAAACGAUGGCUAAUACCGCAUAAUGUCUACGGACCAAAGGGGGCUUUUAGCUCCCACGUGAAGAGAAGCCCAAGUGAGAUUAGCUAGUUGGUGAGGUAAAGGCUCACCAAGGCGACGAUCUCUAGCUGUUCUGAGAGGAAGAUCAGCCACACUGGGACUGAGACACGGCCCAGACUCCUACGGGAGGCAGCAGUGGGGAAUAUUGCGCAAGUGGGGGAACCCUGACGCAGCCAUGCCGCGUGUGUGAAGAAGGCC
rnacentral:rRNA from 1 species